rfam:Streptomyces paucisporeus strain CGMCC 4.2025 genome assembly, contig: Ga0079900_105
GCACUCGUAGCUCAACGGAUAGAGCAUCUGACUACGGAUCAGAAGGUUGCAGGUUCGAAUCCUGCCGAGUGCA